UAGGAUCUAGCUCAACUGGUAGAGCGGUGGUCUCCAAAGCCACUGGUAGGGGUUCAAGUCCUCUGGUCCUAG
rnacentral:tRNA from 1 species